rnacentral:rRNA from 1 species
UACAGAGGUCUCAAGCGUUGUUCGGAUUCAUUGGGCGUAAAGGGUGCGUAGGUGGCGCUGUAAGUCGGGUGUGAAAUUUCGGAGCUUAACUCCGAAACUGCAUUUGAUACUGCGGUGCUUGAGGACUGGAGAGGAGUACUGGAAUUUACGGUGUAGCAGUGAAAUGCGUAGAUAUCGUAAGGAAGACCAGUGGCGAAGGCGGGUCUCGUGGACAGUUCCUGACGCUGAGGACGAA